rnacentral:rRNA from 1 species
AGCUCCAAUAGCGUAUAUUAAAGUUGUUGCGGUUAAAAGCUCGUAGUUGGAUUUCUGUUGAGGGCAAUCGGUCCGGACUUUGGUCUGUGCAUCUGAUUUGACCUCGGCAUCCUCUCAAAGCCGUAUUGCGCUUCGUUGUCGUGAUGCGAACUUUGGGACUUUUACUUUGAGGAAAUUAGAGUGUUCACGGCAGGCAUGCGCCUUGAAUAUAUUAGCAUGGAAUAAUAAUAUAGGAUCUUGGUUCUAUUUUGUUGGUUUCUAGAGCUAGGAUAAUGAUUAAUAGGGACAAUUGGGGGCAUUCGUAUUAACGCGUCAGAGGUGGAAUUCUUGGAUUGCGUUACGACGAACUACUGCGAAAGCAUUUGCCAAGGAUGUUUUCA